GAAAGUGUGACUGAUUGAAGGUGGAACAUUGUAAAUGUUCUCAUGGUAACCCCCUCUUUCA
rnacentral:tRNA from 1 species